UACGUAGGUGACCAGCGUUGUCCGGAUUUACUGGGCGUAAAGAGCGCGCAGGCGGUCGUUCAAGUCGAGUGUGAAAGCCCCCGGCUCAACUGGGGAGGGUCACUUGAUACUGAUCGACUCGAAGGCAGGAGAGGGAAGCGGAAUUCCCGGUGUAGUGGUGAAAUGCGUAGAUAUCGGGAGGAACACCAGUGGCGAAGGCGGCUUCCUGGCCUGUUCUUGACGCUGAGGUGCGAAAGCUAGGGGAGCAAACGGG
rnacentral:rRNA from 1 species